rnacentral:rRNA from 1 species
GGCUACACACGUGCUACAAUGGGUAGUACAGAGAGUCGCAAAGCCGCGAGGUGGAGCUAAUCUCAGAAAACUAUUCUUAGUUCGGAUUGUACUCUGCAACUCGAGUACAUGAAGUUGGAAUCGCUAGUAAUCGCGAAUCAGCAAUGUCGCGGUGAAUACGUUCUCGGGUCUUGUACACACCGCCCGUCACACCACGAGAGUUGGUUGCACCUGAAGUAGCAGGCCUAACCGUAAGGAGGGAUGCUCCGAGGGUGUGAUUAGCGAUCGGGGUGAAGUCGUAACAAGGUAUCCGUACGGGAACGU